UACGGAGGGGGCAAGCGUUGGCCGGCGGCACUGGGUUGAAAGGGCGCGUAGGCGGCUAAAUAAGUCAGAGGUGACAGCUUGCAGCCUAACUGCGAAAGUGCCUUUGAUACUGUAUAGCUUGAAAGGAGCUGAGGUCAGCAGAAUGUGGCAUGUAGCGGUGAAAUGCAUAGAUAUGCCAUAGAAUACCAAUUGCGACGGCAACUGGCUGCGCUUACUUUGACGCUGUUCCGCGAAAGCGUGUCGAUCGAACAGG
rnacentral:rRNA from 1 species